rnacentral:rRNA from 1 species
AGAGUUUGAUCCUGGCUCAGGAUGAACGCUAGCGAUAGGCUUAACACAUGCAAGUCGAGGGGCAGCAUGGUCUUAGCUUGCUAAGACUGAUGGCGACCGGCGCACGGGUGCGUAACGCGUAUGCAACUUGCCUCACAGAGGGGGAUAACCCGUCGAAAGACGGACUAAUACCGCGUACACUCUAUGUUGGGCAUCCAAUGUAGAGGAAAUGAAAUUCGCUGUGAGAUAGGCAUGCGUCCCAUUAGCUAGUUGGUGAGGUAACGGCUCACCAAGGCGACGAUGGGUAGGGGAACUGAGAGGUUGAACCCCCACACUGGUACUGAGACACGGACCAGACUCCUACGGGAGGCAGCAGUGAGGAAUAUUGGUCAAUGGGCGAGAGCCUGAACCAGCCAAGUCGCGUGAAGGAUGACUGUCUUAUGGAUUGUAAACUUCUUUUAUACGGGAAUAACAAGAGUCACGUGUGACUCCCUGCAUGUACCGUAUGAAUAAGCAUCGGCUAACUCCGUGCCAGCAGCCGCGGUAAUACGGAGGAUGCGAGCGUUAUCCGGAUUUAUUGGGUUUAAAGGGUGCGUAGGCGGCCUGUUAAGUCAGCGGUGAAAUCUAGGAGCUUAACUCCUAAAUUGCCAUUGAUACUGGCGGGCUUGAGUGUAGAUGAGGUAGGCGGAAUGCGUGGUGUAGCGGUGGAAUGCAUAGAUAUCACGCAGAACUCCGAUUGCGAAGGCAGCUUACUAAGGUACAACUGACGCUGAAGCACGAAAGCGUGGGUAUCAAACAGGAUUAGAUACCCUGGUAGUCCACGCAGUAAACGAUGAUAACUGGGCGUAUGCGAUAUACAGUAUGCUCCUAAGCGAAAGCGUUAAGUUAUCCACCUGGGGAGUACGCCGGCAACGGUGAAACUCAAAGGAAUUGACGGGGGCCCGCACAAGCGGAGGAACAUGUGGUUUAAUUCGAUGAUACGCGAGGAACCUUACCCGGGAUUGAAAUGUAGAUGACCGCUCCUGAAAGGGAGUUUUCCUUCGGGACAUCUAUGUAGGUGCUGCAUGGUUGUCGUCAGCUCGUGCCGUGAGGUGUCGGCUUAAGUGCCAUAACGAGCGCAACCCCUGUCUACGGUUGCCAUCAGGUAAUGCUGGGAACUCCG